rnacentral:rRNA from 1 species
GCUGUUAAGGGUUCGUAGUUGAAUUGUGGGCUGACAAGAAGACGAGCAAGUCCCAUCCACCGGUCGGCGACCCUCGCUCUUUCAGCUCGUGAACAUCAGAAACACAUAUCACGGAAAUGGUUCCUGCAAUUCACGCAUGCAAUGUAUGCAGCUAGGCGUCCGUGUGUUUUACUGUGACUAAAAAGCGCGACUAAAGCAGUCGUUCGACAUGAAUUUGAAAGCAUGGGAUAACAACGAGCAGCCUACGGAUUACCGUUUUUGGCUUUUGUUGGUUUUAAAGAUCUGUGGGAGAUUAUGGUAUGCACGACAAGCGGUUCGGGGUUCGUCCCCACGCCUCUGCUGCUUAGAUACUUUCGGGUUCUUUCGCAGCUUGCAUUAUCCAGGAAUGAAGGAGGGUUGUUCGGGGGAGAAAGUCUUGAGUGUGAGAGGUGAAAUUCUUAGACCACUCAAAGACUAACUACAGCGAAGGCAUUCUCCAGGAUACCUUCCCCAAUCAAGAACCAAAGUGUGGAGAUCGAAGAUGAUUAGAUACCUUGUAGUCCAAA